GACGAACGCUGGCGGCGUGCUUAACACAUGCAAGUCGAACGGAAAGGCCCUGCUUUUGUGGGGUGCUCGAGUGGCGAACGGGUGAGUAACACGUGAGUAACCUGCCCUUGACUUUGGGAUAACUUCAGGAAACUGGGGCUAAUACCGGAUAGGAGCUCCUGCUGCAUGGUGGGGGUUGGAAAGUUUCGGCGGUUGGGGAUGGACUCGCGGCUUAUCAGCUUGUUGGUGGGGUAGUGGCUUACCAAGGCUUUGACGGGUAGCCGGCCUGAGAGGGUGACCGGCCACAUUGGGACUGAGAUACGGCCCAGACUCCUACGGGAGGCAGCAGUGGGGAAUACUGCACAAUGGGCGGAAGCCUGAUGCAGCAACGCCGCGUGCGGGAUGACGGCCUUCGGGUUGUAAACCGCUUUCGCCUGUGACGAAGCGUGAGUGACGGUAAUGGGUAAAGAAGCACCGGCUAACUACGUGCCAGCAGCCGCGGUGAUACGUAGGGUGCGAGCGUUGUCCGGAUUUAUUGGGCGUAAAGGGCUCGUAGGUGGUUGAUCGCGUCGGAAGUGUAAUCUUGGGGCUUAACCCUGAGCGUGCUUUCGAUACGGGUUGACUUGAGGAAGGUAGGGGAGAAUGGAAUUCCUGGUGGAGCGGUGGAAUGCGCAGAUAUCAGGAGGAACACCAGUGGCGAAGGCGGUUCUCUGGGCCUUUCCUGACGCUGAGGAGCGAAAGCGUGGGGAGCGAACAGGCUUAGAUACCCUGGUAGUCCACGCUGUAAACGGUGGGUACUAGGUGUGGGGUCCAUUCCACGGGUUCCGUGCCGUAGCUAACGCUUUAAGUACCCCGCCUGGGGAGUACGGCCGCAAGGCUAAAACUCAAAGGAAUUGACGGGGCCCCGCACAAGCGGCGGAGCAUGCGGAUUAAUUCGAUGCAACGCGUAGAACCUUACCUGGGUUUGACAUGGAUCGGGAGUGCUCAGAGAUGGGUGUGCCUCUUUUGGGGUCGGUUCACAGGUGGUGCAUGCCUGUCGUCAGCUCGUGUCGUGAGAUGUUGGGUUAAGUCCCGCAACGAGCGCAACCCUUGUUCACUGUUGCCAGCACGUUAUGGUGGGGACUCAGUGGAGACCGCCGGGGUCAACUCGGAGGAAGGUGGGGAUGACGUCAAGUCCUCAUGCCCCUUAUGUCCAGGGCUUCACGCAUGCUACAAUGGCUGGUACAGAGAGUGGCGAGCCUGUGAGGGUGAGCGAAUCUCGGAAAGCCGGUCUCAGUUCGGAUUGGGGUCUGCAACUCGACCUCAUGAAGUCGGAGUCGCUAGUAAUCGCAGAUCAGCAACGAUGCGGUGAAUACGUUCCCGGG
rnacentral:rRNA from 1 species